GUGGUUUGCGUUGUAAGUCAGUGUCUCAAGUGUCUCCAGUGUCUUUGUGGAUUUUGGAUUUUUGGUUCAGUUGGAUUUUGCCUCUUGUGUUUUUUGGGAUUUUUGAGUUGGACAUUUGGAAAGUAAGUUUUUGUUGUUUUUAGUGCCUUUGAAAUAAAUCUGUUUUCAUUCUGCAUUUUGGGUCCUUCCCUUUUUUUUGUUUUACUGUAGGGUUGUGAUUCUUUUCACUGUUACAGGGUUUUGACUAUAUACAAUAAAGUAUUUUACAAAGCUGAGUACUUGUAAAGUACACAUACAGUGAUUCAUCUUUGAACUUGUUCUGUCUUACCUACGAAUAACAUUUUAUGCAUUCUUCUUCAAAAGACUUGAGGCAAAACACUGAUUUCAGCUUUUCAUUUGGUUAUGUCCCCCACAGCUCAUAUGAACAACUCACUUAAUGUCUAACAGGAGCCAUGACUUGUGGUGGUUCAGCACAAAUAGCAAAAGCUGCAGCCUUCAAACAAGCAAUUCAGCACUGAGGUAUGCAAACUAACGAUAAGGUAUGAGUUCCAAUAAGAGUGCAAUGCAUGGGAAGUACAGCGGGUAAUGGGCUGAAACAAAAUCAGUGCAGUCACUUUAGAUGCAAACAGCAGGCAAACAGAAGGAGAGCGAACGGUUAAUGCGACUUCAAACAGUCUGAUGAGACACAACUCUUGCCAUAACAGCGUCCAUGAGCACGCUUAUUCCCUACAAUUCACUGCAGCAUUAGUGCCAUUACAAUAUAAAGGUGUUAAUGGCAUAGAUAAUUUGAUUGUUUAGAUGUAUUAAAGUAGCAUCCAGAGGGUACAUGGGGACAUUUCCAUAUGCAGAGGUGAUUUUUAUAGCUGGAGUACAAGCAAUGACAGCCAGAAAAGCUCCAGCACUGUACAGACUGAUGGGUCUCUUUCUAUUUCUCUCUGGUGUCAUUGUAGGGACAGCUUUGAUGUUCAAUUUUUAAAUGUGCCAAUGUCAAUCGACUGACACCCAAAGGUGAGCCAGAGUGGCAUCAAAUGAUGACAGUAUGAGGAUCUCAAUCAUUAACUGCAAGAAUCAAUAAGGAAGAGAAUCUAUAUUAAAGUCAUUAAAACUGACUUAGUACGCAGUAAAUUCAGUCUGGAUUUGACUAAAGCUGCUUUGAAAUGUAAGGAUAUUAAAGGAAGACUCGAGGUAUAAUACAUUCACAUUUCCAGCAUACCUCCCUUCACAGUCUCAGGUCUUUUUUAAAACCUAUUUUUACUCCACAAACAUUAUAGAACAAACCUAAAACAAAGAGGAGGAGGUUAUAUAACUGCACUUGUUUUUUUAUAGACUCUGCUGUGAACACAGUUUUAAAAGAGGAAUAUUUCAGUAUUGAUCAUUUUUAUUACACAUACCUAUGUAACCAUGUUGUUUGCUGAAUAAAUGCAAGUGUUCAUGUCGUCCAUUUUGGGGACUGCAGUCAAAAACAAACAGGUGAAAACUCGACAAAAACACGUCAGAAGAAAUUAGUUUGAAAAAAGAAAAAAAAGAAAACUACAACUAACUCAAUUUCUGGCAUUGCUUUUAUCACUGGUACUCAUCCAGCAAACUCGUAUGUUAAAAUACACACAGACUGUGCAAGUCGAGGCUGUUUCUGACCUAAUUUUUGGGUUGCAUGACUGAUUUCGAGGUCAGGCUUCAUUGCAUGUCAUUUGCCAUGCAGUUUAAAGGGGAGCAUUGGGGUAGAUUGCACACAGACAUGCUGCUUCUGCCUGAUGGGAUGAAAUUCUGGUAUGACAGAACUUUUAGUCAGCCUCAAAUUCACUAUUGUGAUUUUUUCCCCCAAACUGCAUCUGUGUAAAAUGGUAGACAGCAUCUGAAUGCAUCAUGGAAACAUACAGUACUGUGUGGGAACAAAUAGCAACCACCCGUAACCCUUUAAGCAGAUAAUGUUUCCUUUCUUGACAAGGAGUAAGAAAUAUUCCCAUACUUAAUGUAGCAGAUGUGAAUGCUUAGUUUAACCCUGUAUUAUACAAGAAGUAUAGCUCUGUUUGGAAUUAGUUGUGUGCGUAAGAGUGCAUGGAAGGGCAAGGAAGUGACAAAAGGUGAGCAGUCGAGUUUGUGCAAAGAUAAUAAAGCGUGCAACUUCUCAAAAAUAUGCUGCAAGUAAAGUGAGAGGGAGUUAACCACAGAGUUAGUAUCAACUAGAGCACAGGAGCAGACCAGUAAGACUCCUGUGUGCUUUCUGACUAAGGUCGGGACGCAAAAGCAGGAAAGAUUAACACCUCAUUAAAGUAAUGACCAAAAUACCAUACCUUUAAAACUAAAAACUGAAAGAGAUAAGCUCAAAGAGGAACUAACUACAAAGACCGAAAGUGCCAGUUUAGCUCCUAGUUGUUUGUCCUCUGUCCUGAUUUCCCAAGUAUACUGUGAGCACUCAGCUCACACUUAAAAAAUGAACUUUAGCACUUUUGGUACAUUUUAGUCACCCAAAAAAAAUGGUUCACAUUCCAUAUUCAGCAUCUUAACACUGCCACUAAAUGCAGAGGGGGUAUUUCAUUGUGAAACAAACUGUCACUUUGCUGUGCAAGGCAGACCAGGCUGACAGAGCACACUGCAGAAUGUAAAGGAAGUCAUGGCGGGGACACCGUUUGAACCUUUACUUCUCUCAUAGCCCGCUAAAAAUGGUGCAACUUGUCUUCAGGAAUUAGCAGCACUUGCGAGCUAUAGUUGUGUAUUGUAAACCAUUUAUUCUGCUUUUCUGCCACACCAUUCAUAGAAUUGCAUGUUGUAUGUCUGGAGACUGACUCAAAUGACUAUUAUAUCCAGCUAUAGGAUAAAUAUAGUAUUUACUUUUACAGUUAAAACGGGGAUAGCCACUGUUGAGUUGUUAAGUCAUGAUGGUUUUGAUUUACUCCUGAAGAAAAAAGACAGAAAGUCUUAUUCUUUUUUGACCUCUUUUAUCCUGCAAAUACUUUCCCACUUUAUUGCAACUGUAAAAACAUAGUAUCACUGUCAGACAUGAGCAUUUAGUCCUGAGGUAGCUGGUAGCUGUAAAAGGCAGCAAAAAUAAAUAUAGUUUCUGCUGUAGCUGCUUUUCUGCUUUGCUGUAGAGAUCAUGGGAAAACGCUGGUAUUGAUUUUAGUCUGAGUCAUGGCCGGCUUAAAAAAGAAAAAUCCUCACUUAAACUUACCUGUACAUGAGUAUUCAGUUUUAGACAAAUAUUUAGUCUUAUCCACUACUUUUCAAAAACUUUCCGUACAGUUUCAAAACUGACGCUUAGGGGGGCUUUGUCUCCCACUCACUGAUGGUGAGGGAAUCAUUUCAGCAUGGGAUCAACUAUGUGUGUCUAAUUGUUCCUUAUUAAGACCAGGUGUGGGAAGCUCAUACCCUCGGGUGCCAGUGCUCCAUGCUGACUCAUUAUCUCACCAUCAGAGGUAUCAAGUGGAUUUUUUAGUGUUUGUUCUUGUUGCGUAGGGGUGUCGGCAGAGGCACCACUAAAACCUCUCUGGUACCAGGCGAGUCUUUUCUAGCUUCUUGUGUUUCUCUGUCCCAAGGCAUCCCUGGCUUUUUGUGUUUUAGUUCAGGGGCUUAUACUUGGUCUCCCUUAAAGUUUAGUUUCCAGUCAGCUGCUCAGCAGGGGUAGUUUGGAUAGUUUAGUUUAGUUCCCACUCCUCUUGACUUCAGAAGUGUAUUCUACGAUUCAGCGCUGCAGCUUUUUCACUCAUAAGGAAAUAUUGUGAAGCCCUUUCAUAAUCAAGUUUGGUGCUGAUAAUGUCUAUUUCUGUCCUCACCUCUCUUUCUAAAGACAUUUGACACUGAUUUCAACUUAAACAAGUGAUUCAGGUAUUCCAUAUAUAAUGUUUGGUUAUGUCAGUGAAGUUUCCUUUGUUUUUAGCAUAUUCAUGUCAUUUCAUGUCAUGUCUUUCCUGUUUUAUUUUGAAAUCACUAAACCCUGUCUCUGUUUCUAGAUUUGCACCCCUGUCAUGUCACACCUGCAUCCUGAUUGUCUCUCCCCACCUGUUUCCCAUCACCCUCAUUGCCUCGUGUAUUUAACCUCAUGUCUCUCGCUGUCUCCUCUCCAGUUCAUUGUAUUUCACUGUCCUCGUUCCAUCACUGUUUGUCAUAAUCAUAGACAUUUCCGUGUUUGAGCGUCCCUGUUUUUUUGCCUCACGCUUUUCGAAUACAUCUGCCUGUUCUGACUGAAUUCCUGUGUACCAACCUCUGCUUGUUGUUUGGCAUUUGUGUCCUGUCGCUCUGUUGCCAUGAUCAUAACAGGGACAUUUUCCAGAUACUUGGAGCUUAAAAUUGAAUGCUGCUUUUCCGUGUUUAGUUCUGAUAUUGGGUACAGAAAGCAGACCUGUCCCAGACCACCUGAGCUGUAUGGAUAGUUUGUUAAUCUUAGAAAAUCACUGAUGUAUUUUGGCCUGGAAGCUGCUCAUUGCUUUUCAGUUCUCUUCCUUAUUAUGGUUUAACUGAAGAAAAUUAAGGUAUAUCCACACAUUGAUUUGUACGAGGCACUUAAUCAGGGCUUGAACAGGGCUAUGGAUCACCUGCUUACAUUGUUAAGUACAUCUGUUGGUAAUCUGACUUGUGUUAUUUUAGGCCAGUGGGAACAUGUGGAUAUCAAACAGAAAAGGCUCCGGGAUAGAGCCUUGGGGAACUCCACAUUUAAUUUGUGUCCAUUCAAAUGUGAAGUUAGAGGAAGACACAAAGUAGUUUUGAUUGAUUUGAAUCACUUGAGUACUGUGCCGGGAAGUCUCCAGUUCUUAAAGGCAUAACCUACUUGGCAAAGUAAGGAUGGUGAUCAAUUAGGUAAUGUCUGGCAGCCAAAAUACCAAACACCCAGCUAGCAAAGCUCCCCUCCUUCUUGCAGAAACAAAGAGACAUCUAAAGUACUUGGAAGACCGAAUCUACUCUGAGGACAGACAAUUCAACUCAUGUUCACACCAUUGAAAGACACUUAGACCAGACCUGCAACCUUGGAAUCCACCUGCUUAUGCAAAGAAAACAAGAUCCUCAAACUUAGGACCGACAACCUGUUAUAAUUAGUCUAAAAUAUAGAUAUUCUCAAGUCUUAACAAUGUUCAUAUGUUCAUUAUUUGCCUGACACUGUGAGAUGGCAUUUAUUAUUCGGUUUGAACAGUUGUCUGAGGUACAACACAACAGCAAAAAUAUAUAUUUCAGCAGUGCUGUUUAAUGUUCUGCAUGAUUACCUCUUCCCCUGCAGUCUUUGCCGACAUGUUUAGCCAAUAUGCAUCUGUUUUCCCCUGCUGAGAGUCUUAGGACUUAGAGGAGGUUUGGAGGAAUGGAUUAACUGAGAGGGAAAUGGGGCUGUGAUGGGAUGAGAUGAGGCAACAGCAGGUGCUGAGGAGGCAGACCGUCUGAUAGAAGCUCCUCUGGGACCGUCUGUGCAUUAGUGCGUCCCGUAGUGGUAAAUGUGUCCCUCUGUCUGUACAGGUAGAUAGCUCCGAGAGAAGAACUCAGUGUUUGGCGCCUUGUGACGAAGAAGUCUGGUCUGUGUUCUGGAUCACUUGUUAAGCUCUCAACAUAUGCAUUACCCCAGGGAGAUACACACCAGACAGUGAGUCACGUAUAAAUAAAGCACGAUGAAUGCAAAUAGAGAACACUCUCUGGAGGUUUUAACAGGUGAGAUGAGUGAUUAAAGAGGCUUUGAAUACCAUGUCUACAGCUAAAUGUGCAGAUUAAAGCAUCGGAGAGAGAGAUGGCAUCAUGGGAUGUGACACGUAUAGUGAGUGCCUGUAGUUAGCUGUGUUGUAGGGAUCCCACAGGUACAACAAUAAAAGAUCAUUUGAAGAAUAAAGCAGUGAAAUCUACCUCACUUUGCACGACUAGAAGAUCCCUCAUUCUGCCAAUCCAGCUGAAUGAAAUCCACCUCAGGGGAACAAAUGCAGUGAUUUAUUUUUAAAUGUUUUCUCAGGUGGGACUGAUAAACAUGCCAAAACCCAAUGAAACACUCCCUUCCCUUGGGGAGUGUUUAGGGGACUUUCCUCAGCGCACUCUGGGAACAACUUUAGUCUGUCAUCUGUUGUUUCCUUGAUCCAUACUUCACCCGAAAGUUGUUCAAUAUCUGCCAACUUGACGGCCCUCUCAUUUGCAUAAUACUAAACUGUUCUCUGGGGAUAGCAGAGGUGAUGGGUGGGGAGACCUUGAAGAGCCAUUAACAGGUCCACCCAAGAGGAACCUUUACAAAAGUCUUCAAAUGGCUGACCCCUUUCAUUGGGUACCUUUUAGUCUGAUCUGCUGUUGCAGCCUAUCGCACCAAAAGGUUAAAAGUAGGGCUGUCAAAUGAUUCAUCUUGUUGUGAGUAAUCGUGUAAUUGCCCACAAUGAACUUGCAGUUAACCACACAUUAUUUUCACAUUUUGUAAUAUUUUCUAAAUGGGCCCAAAACCAGUAUUUUCUGAGUGUUGAAUACUUUGAUACACAUUGAUGUAGAUAACUAUGAUUACUCCUUAUUGUAAUUUGAAUAUUUGCUUCAAAAUUUUAAAACAUUGGUAUUUUUGAGCUGACGCUAGCAUCAUUCGACAAGUUUUUGUAGUUUGUGUACUUGUGUGUUUAGUUGAUUUACUUCAUCUUAACCUUCUUUUUAAAUGUUAAUGUCGACACAAAUGGAUUAUGCAUCAUACAUGAUUUCACUGCAUCCAGCCUGAAUGAAUAAACUGACAAAAAGACUACAAAUACACCUUUGAUAUGAUCAGGGCAAAGGGUGUACAUUUUGAUGCACCGAGGCCCGCAAAACACUUGAACUAAAAGAGGCAACAAUGAAGCAUUAAAGAGAUUCUCCGGGGGAACUGAGGCUUCAAAAGAAAGGAUAUGUUAACAGCACUUGCCUGAAAUGGUUAUUGAUUUUGGGCUCAUGUGAAACAAGUACAGACUCUUUUAAUAAUUUCGUUGCACAAUCCCUCGAUUUAAUCUGGUCAACAGGCAAAACAAUCGAUACAUUUUCAUCUCCAUUUGUUCACGGUUCUGUAACGUCUGCUCUCAUUUCCAACAGUCUUCAUCCAGACCAAACCCAUAUCUUAGCAAGAUUUUCCCCGCUUCUGCCUGUAUUAGGGUUUUCAUCACUUUUCCCUCUGUGCUGUCAUUUUGUUAUUGCUGCCUGUGUUGGUGUGUGUAUGCAUUUUAUUUCCAUUUGUGUGUGGACUGAUGUCUCUGUUGGCCAGAAAGGGUAAAAUAUGACUCAAGGGGGCUAGAGCUAGGAUUUAGAUUGGGCUAUUAUUUAGAUUGGGUUAAGCUAAUAAUGAUGAAUGCUACAGUUUAAUAUUUCUAUAAAAAUUCUGAUAUUGGAAGUGAUGAAAUUUUAAGAAAUAGUGGUACAGUUAGGAAGUCAUGCAGUGCCCCAACAUUGUGUUCUUGCUCUCCAGGAUAACAUGUUAAACUUGGUUUUACAGCUGGAGUACAGAGACCAAGAGAGAAAUCCAUAUCCCCUUAUGCAAUCCACCUUCCUGACGUCAAUCACUUCCAUUUCUUUUAAUUGGUUAAAGGUUAUUUUUAGAGCUGUCCUCCAACACAUCUUGGCCAACUAAAACAAUGAUGAUGUGCUCCAUGUAAAUUUGCAUACACAGCUCUGCAACAGAAGGAUGGCAGAAUCAACAGACUGUAAAACUAAAUGAAGGAAUCUACAUCUAAAAACCACAAACACUACAAAAACAUUUAGGGCCUGAUUAACUAAAGGUUGGGCGCAAAGAGGAUUGUGUCUGUCAAAUUAGCAAAACAGCACACACAAUCCAUUUAACGUGUUUGUCUUUAUGAAUAUGUAGAAUGUAUUAAGAUUAUCAUAACAAGCAAAAUGUGCACAAUGUGAUUUAUGAAACCCUGACGUAGUAGAUAGUAGAUCACCCGUAACACACCCACAAAAACAAGGUUUUACUGUCAACAUUAAUGUUAACUUGCGUCGAUUUUAAACAGAUUGAAUUUAAUGGAUUCAUAGUUAACAUAGUUAUAUUUAAAAUGAAAUAUUCCCACCUCCGGUUAUUGCAUUAUCAGUCAGCUGGCUUCACAUUAACUGGACAUUCUGAUGGUAUCACUGUAAUGGUUGAUUCAGUUUCAGCUAAUCUUUCUGAAUCAAAUGCUGCCAAGAUGUGUGUGCCUAUUUUUCUGAUGAUGUCUAACUUUUUCUUUUUCCUUUCUUUCAACAAAAACUGAGCUUCUGCUGGUUUACGGUCAGAAUUACUGUUCAGGUUUUGCACAAAAACCUUCAAGCGAGCUGUAUCCUAUUUGCAGAUUGUAACAGUUUGUUGAACAUAGCAAACACUGUCCUGCGGGAUCUUUUCAGGGGCAAUGCACAACCAUUUAUGGCAUCUUAAAAGGUCAACAUUGGGCAGCCAGAACAGUCGCAUUGCUGCCAAAUCUGUUGGACCAACGAAUCCAGUAACACAGCCAAUGUGCUGCCUGAGAUUGGCAAGUGCAAACCUGUCAGCUGAAACUCUAUCAUAUUAUUUAUCGACUUCAUGUCUGUGUUAUAACACAAUAAGAUGGUAACCAUGGUCACCAAAGUGUUAUUGCAGACAGAUCUCCCAGGAGCUUUACUGCUGCCUCCCACCACAAGUUUCAAACCACUAAGUGUGUGAGAGAGAGCGAAAAGAAAACAUGAAUUAAGGACACUUGGAGAUGGAUGGACAGACCCUUCAGUGAGUGACUAGCACAGCGGGCAGAGUCUCCUGAUACAUGUCGAUGUACGGCUGCAGUUUCAUCUUUGAUAGACCCCCUUCUUGCUCUCUGACAGGGGGACUCGAGCAAAGAGACGUAGGGUCCCCAAAUUGCCUCACCUAACCUUGGCAAUCUCCAGCCAGCCUGCGCCUCUCCAUUAAUGUGCUGAUAAAUGACUUCCAUCAAGCACGCAGAGACCAGCUCCCUGCGCCAGUAACUUGGCCACUUGUCAAUUAUGAUUAUUAAUCUGUUGCGACCCUACCAUACCACCACCCCACCUGCUACAAGCCCCCACCGGCCCUCCUCUCCCUAGACUUGAUACGGCCUGCUUGUCAGUUGCUAAAUUAAAUUACUUUGGAAUAACUGAUGGCGUGUCCAGAUCCAUCGCUCCGAUAGCAGCAAGCAUGCUCCUAAUCCCCCCUGCUGUUGGCUGCACUGAAAACAGGGGGAUAUUUAAAUCGAUGAGGGCUCAUAUUGGUUCUGACAGGCUUGGCUUUUGUUAGGUGGGGCAAGAUGACAACUCCUUAUCGACUGCAAGGGUGCUCUGAGAUUCAUCGAAAUGCUGUUUCUAUUCAGGUGCCAUGUGCUUUUUUCUCUGCUGGAAGAUUCUCCAAACAGGCUCCAAAUCAAAAGGAAACUCUUGACAGACUUUGUACCCAAGCCGCUAAUUAUUGAGGGUCAGCACACUAAUGCGUGUCUGCAGAGCCUGUCUCCCUCCAUACUCAUGCAUAAUGAAGACAUUUCUGUAACCUAGAGAAUUAAGUAUGCUGUCUUCCUCAGUUCAGCUUUUCAGUUUUCACUCUACCACCCCUAUCCUCCUCCUAAACACAUCUUGUCUUAGAUGUACAUUUUGUAACUCUGUCACUCUGCUUGUUCUCCUUCAAACGCAUGCCUCAUCCCAGGAGCUCUCUGUCCCGGCAUUCCCGUCCCUAGCUGCCUCAUUAAUGAACUGUAAAUACUUUUUGCUAUGCAGCAAAAUUGAUUGACUGGCGAACCAACAGCACUGGGUGGCUCCAGAGGAAACAAGAAAAAACCAAGACUUAUGUACCGGGAAGAAAGAUAUUUUAUGUAGGAUUGGUUUACCACUGGCUUAAUUUGAAACUGUCUUUCCUGUGAAGAUAUUGGAGACAUGAACAUAAAAUUUAAUUGUGUUGAUGUCAGGACAGUACCAAGUAUAUAUAGUAUCUUGUCUGAGCAUGUUUGCCCGGUAUUAGCUUUCCUCUGUCGCCUUGUCCCUGCACACUUGGACUGCAAAUCCAAUUAAUCGAACAAAAACCAGACUGUGUAUCUCUGACAGGGUGUCAUAUUUACAAUAGCCUGGCUGUCUGAAGUGUGAUGUCUCCACUGCUAAGUCACGGCCAGCCAAGUCUCUGUCAGGGCUCCCAUAAGAAAAAAAAAAAACCUUAUUCAAAGCUCCAAACACCAUAGUACAUUAAAGGAAGCUUGAAGCAGAUCGCCCUGAGGCAAGAUAUCACCCUCAGCCUGCCUCUUUAGGAGAAUAAUGAAUGGAUGGCAUAACUAAUCCCACUGCAAAUUUACAAAAAAAAAAGUAUAUCUAGUUGGAUAUGUAAAAUGUCUCGCUCUAAGUGAGCUGACCAUCUCAUCUCUUUUACAGAAAGCUCUCAUAAGUGCCGGUAGUGUUUCCCCUCAGGAGGUGAUAAAAGUGAGAGCAAAGAAAUUAAACUGGACUGGUGUUAACACAAAUCCUAAGAUUACCUCAUUUGUAUAAAUGUAGAUUUGCAGCCUCCUGUCCUGUUUUGAAGAGAAAAAACAGCGGUGGAUGAAUAUCUGUAAGCCACACUUGGGCAAAAGUGCAUUUCACACUGAACCGAAAGUUGGCUAUCUAUACAACAUAAGCAGAAAUCUAAAUCAGAUGUUUACUGUAUUCAAGCUACAAAAGUAUAGUUUCUUCUAUUGGUUGUACUUGGGUAAAAGUCAAAGUACAACUGGUGCAGUGUGAAGAAAUGGGAAUCUUUGACAAUGAGAUUCUAGAUGGAAACACUUUCCUGCUCAACCAACUUGACAGUGAGGUGACAGUGAGGUGGCUGAGGACAAGAAGCUCCCUGUAAUGUAAAAUACAGUAUGAUCCUCCAUUUGCCAAGUUUUUACUAUUUGAAAUGUCUAUCAGAUUCUUUGGUAACACUUUACAAUAACCAUAAUUUAUAAAUAGUAAAUAGAUAGUUUAUUAAUGUUGAAUCAACACUUCUAAACAUUAUAUAGACCAAUUAUAAAUGGCAAAUAGAUAGUUUAUUAAUGUAAGUUAAUAGUUACUUUACCAUUAACAAGCAAUGAAAUUGUGAUUAAUAAUUUUCAUUAAUUAUCAACAGACUAUUUAAAGGUUUAUAUAGGGUUUACAUAUUGGUUGUAAAACAUCUAGAUUAAAAUGUGUAUCAGUAGCACUUUGUAAAUGGUUAAUAUUUGUUUUUUUAAACCAUCUAUAAACAUUACUUAGAUGGUUAUUGUAAAGUUAGGGUUAGGUUUUUAAAACUACAAAAUUUACAAUUUAAUUAAUGGUCUAUAUGCUAUUUAUAAAUGAUGAUUAAACAUUAAUAAACUAUCUGCUUAAUAUUUAUAAAUGGUCUAUUUACCAUUUAUAAGUUAUGGUUAUUGUAAAGUGUUACCGAUUCUUUUGUACAUUGGCUGCUAUCCUCUUCUUUGUUACCCAACUGGUGCGUUUUGCACGACCACUCUCUAAAUACAAAAAACAUGCAUGUUAUGACUGCAAGAUGACAACCUCUUUGGAAGAACCCACUACUAAAAUGCUUCUUCUAAGUUACAGAAAACACAUGAUUUAACUGAUUUAAAACAUGCGUAUGGAUAAUUUAUUCCAUUUCUACCAAGUCUGUUCUGAUAAAUGCUAUUAAAUGCUUCAAGUUGUACCUUUAAGGAUGUUAAUCGUGGUCAAAAAUUUCUGGAAAUGUGAACUGUAUUUUUACUGUUGUGGAAAGAAAAUGGAGCUACCGGAAGAUCUUGAUAACAAAAGAGCUUAUCAUCAACUAUUCAACCUUUGCCACGUAAUGUUUUUAGUAUAAUAGAAGAACUGCCACUCUUUCACUGGAGAAGCUGGUAUUAAUACAAAUGAAGUCUCUACCUCUGUCAUGUAUCCAGUAUCACCACUGAGUGAUAUUCCACUCACGUGGUCCUUACCUGCUCUCAUCUGACAUGUCUGGACUUGGCUUAAUGGAUAAACCGGGCUCUGAAAUCCUGUGAUUUCACUUGUUAUUCUGUGAUGUUUUUAGGCUUGUCUGCAUCUACAGUGUUGAAUUACUGUUAUUCUCAGGCUUUGACCACUUAGUUUCCAUUCAUUUUAAAGGCAUAUUUUCAGUUUUCAGAACAUUUUGUAGGUCUAGAGCUGCUAAUGCAAAUGCUAUGUCUUUGUAAAAUGCUAUUUUAUCAGCGCAAGUAUACCGCACAGAGAGUACCUUACUUAGCACAGACUUAAUGGUCACUCCUAAGGGAAGAGGUUUUAUUGCAAAAAAAUAUCCUUAACCUUGCAACUGGAAGUGUUUGGGAGAAGCUCUCUGAAAUUGAGAUUUUAGACUGCCAAAGCAAAACCAGCUGUUAUACUGGACCAAGGCCCUUAGUCUGCCAGACUCUCUGAUGAAGGCAGUAGCAUUCAUGGUGAUGGUCUGAUACUUAAAAACAACAAACUGUUAUUCAACCUCCCAUGCAUAAAUACACAACUUUACAGCAGAAAUACAGAUAAACAGCCGUAUACUUAUUGCAGUCUAUACAGGCUGUUUCUUUGUUCAUUAUAGAGAGCAUUACAUACUCUUGUGCGGCCUUGCUUAUAGUCCAACUCUCCUGUCCUCUCUCCUGUUGUUGUAUUUCAGCUGCAGUUCAGUCAUAUUUCAAAGCAGUCUGCUGAGAUUGAUUCCUGGUUCAAAGGCGAGAGGAUGGCGGGGAAUGGAAAUAAAAAGACACAAGCUGCAGACAUGAGUAGCAAUUGUCUAACUAAGAUUAAUGCUAUUUUGUUGUCACAGAGCUAAUAUAGCAAAACCUAAAAUAAAAGUCAUGCUGUAAAAUACUUCAGGUUGAUAAAGUACCAUCCCAUUAUCAAGAGACACAGCUCUUAGCUGAUCCAUUAACAGUACAUUAGUGGAGUAUCUUUUUUUUGGCUCUUAAUGACUCUUACAACCCAACGAGCUUCAAAUAAUUGUAAUGAUAGAGUAAUGCCGUUGUAACCCUCACUCGUUUUUUUUAAGUAUGACAUAAACCUUUGCAGCAAAAUGACCGUUAUUGCUGUGUUUUAAGGGGCUCUUCACACAGAUGUUUCAGUGCAUAAAGAGAGGAUGUCCUGCUGCAAAAUCCCACUAAGAGGAUGACCUGAAUGUGUGGAAACAUGCUAACUUCAUUGGGCAUCUAAUGGACCCAAACAGAAUACAGAUACAGUGGUUUCACUUUGCACUGGAAGUCAUAUAAAUGACUACUUGCUGAGGCAUUAUACCAAUGUUUAAUGAUGCUGUGUCACUAUUCUGCACAAGCAUUAUGGCCUUUUUUUUUUUGUUCCUUUAGGUUCUCUUUUUUCUGUUGCUGCGAGUGCUGAAAUCCAGCUUCAUCUCUGUGCAAACCUACACAGCCUUGCUCCCACUGAACUGUCAUUUAUUAUGUAAGAUACAGAGAAAGGCGGGAGUGAUGAUUUAAUCAGAAUGAAAGGUUUUUAUUCUCUGUUUGGACUUUGCAACACGCCUUAGGUUCUACUCUGAGAGAUGUCCAUGGCUUAACUAUGACAUGAUUUGUUUCAUAUUUCAUUAGGGUACACUGUUGCCUAGUGCCUGCUGAAGUUUGCUAACAAUGCAGAGUGGGAAUGUAAAGCGUAACAGAGAUAGGGAGGCGGUAAGGAAGUGCAUGAAUCUGUAAUAAGGUACGAUCUGUUAGGGAAGGAUGGUGGGGGAAAUAGUGAGCGGGGAAGAGCUUAAGUGCAUCGUUGACAAAUUGUCACCAUGGCAUCAAAUUGCAUGUUGGGAAAAGGAGUGGAGAGGAGACACUGUGAAAGUGUAACCUCUGAGACAGAGGAGGGCGAUCGUGUGGAGACAUUUUUAAAAUAAUACAUGACCCUACAAAUAAAACAGAAGAGGAAGGACUUAGAUGGGACAAGAUUUACAGGAAGGGUUAAACCUCAAUCAUUUGGAGAACACUCCUCUUCCUCUUUCCCUCCUACCCCAGGUGACUAAAUAGACUCUUGUCACCACACCAGAACAGGUUAUCAAGGUAUGAAGCCAGAAUAUUGUUUAUCAGGGAUGGUGUUUUCCUCCCUCGAAGAUAAGAGGAUUAGAAAAAGUAACAGAUGUGAUACCGUUCCCUCAAGAGACUGUUACGAUAUUAUGAUGAGAAUUUGACUAAAUUAACUUUAAAAAUGUACAAACUUUUUAUACACCUGAGAUCCCUGUAAUUUUGUUUUAUCCUCAAGGGUACAUCAUUCAUCAAAAUAACUAAUACACCAGAUGUGCCUCUCUUAAAUACACUUCAGAACUUGAAAGUUACAGUAAAUAAGUUUUAUCAUGGAUGAACAAAGAAGCGCCUCAGACCUCUUUGCUGACAGGCCUACGUGAUGUUCUCUGGUUAAAAUACCUCAUCCUGCUUUCCUUUAUGUGAAAUACAUUACAGGUGGGUAGAUUGUAGCUGUUUGCAUGGCAGCAGUGACCUCAAAAUCACCUUUUUGUAAAAAUCGAGACUGGAUGAAAAUUACAUGGGGUCAGGAUUUCCAACAUGAUGGCUGUCAUCUUUUGAAUUUCAUAAUGCCAGUAUAUGGAUUUUAAGCUGAAAAGCUCUCUGUAAUUCUGUGUUUAUUUUCUCCACUUCCUGAAACCAACAAUGCACAGUAGCUACGCAAUCCUCGUACGCCCAUAGGCUGUAUCAAGUGUCAAUCAUAGCCCCCUAAUAACUUUUAAAAAUGGAGCUGUACAGAAAAAAAGAGGACUUGAGCACAAACCAGUCUGACAAUAACUUUAUGUCAACAACGCAAGCAGGGGGGAGAAAAAAAUUAUAUUCUGCGUAAUAAAUUUCUAAGGUUUGUCCACAUCUUCAUAGGGAUUGCUGGAGGAGGCAGGAUUUAUGACCCAUACUGCCUGUACAGUAGAUUUCAAAGAUGCAAAUGUGCAAAAAUGUACUACACGAAGAUAGAAUCAAGCUGGCAGCCUCUCGCAGGAUUUUAUUUUAGUUACAGCAUCAAACACAACUCAUGACAAUCAGAAGGACAGUGGAAGCCCAAACAAUCCCCCGAAUCCCUACCACUGUUCCUUCUUAUACUUCCCAAAUGGCGUCAUUAGUCCUAUUCCCGGAAACGGCCUUCACGUUGGUAUCUGAUAGCCAACCACAUGAUUUCUUCUGUACACAUUUUUUUGUUGGCCAGCUCUGCCCAAUUUCCCCUCUGGACAGCUGAAAGUUCACCAUCACCUGGACUCUCUCUGGCUGUAUCCUGUAUGCAGUUUUGCGAUAGCUUUGCUCCAAAAACAUGUCUAUGAUUCGCUCCCACACCCGUCACCAGGGUGUGCUGUUCUCAGGAUGGUCUCACCAAGCGAGGAGGUAGACGCUGUCCAUUCUAUAUACAGUCUAUGAGAUUUCCAACAUGAUGGCUGCCAUCUUUGGAAUUCAUAGUGCCUGUGUAGAAACCGAUGAGUGACAUCACUGAGUCUAAGUCCAUAAUAAGAGCUAUGAGAUCCCUGAUUUAAUGAUGUGACUCCUCAGCAAACAUGAGUCCCAGGUUUACAGAGGGAUGACGUUUAAGUCACAGCAGGUAGAAGUUCUUUAUUGUUUGUUUUGCAGCGCAACGCUGAGGUCUAUCCUCAUACAUGCUAUACUCUGGUGACCUCACAUUGUAUGCAUGAACAAAUACAGGUCCCCUGGAUUUACACAGACCUUUAACUCUCUCUCUCUCGUAUUGUUUUUCUUCCCAUGAUUACAGGAGCACACAAGAUCACAAUCGAUGUACAUUCAAACAUUCAUGUGGCUCUCCCAGAGGUCUCAGGAGGCAGAUAAAUGUCAUGCUGAGCUUAUCAACGUUGUUUGGUUUGAACUCCACUGCUACUGUUAUUUACAUUGACAUUUAUUGAUCUCUAAGCAUGAGAGGUGUGGGAAGGCUGAGUUUUCCAUUACAGGUUGAAGGCUUUAUCUUCAGAUACAGUUUAAUGUUGGUUGCUGACUUUGUUUUAUCGGUUUGUAGAUAUGUUGAAAUGCUCAUACAAGUCCAAGUCCCACCGAUUUGAUGGGAAAUCAAAUAAAUGAGAGUCAUGGAGCGUCUGCAAAGGUAUUCAAGCACAGAGUGACAUGGGUGGUGUAUCUUAGGUGCUAAUGUGAAUCUCUAAGAGAGACUGUCAUGCAGGGACAAAAAAGGUUGCUUGCAGCUGAUAUGACAUCCUGGUAUGCUUAAAGAAAAAGGUGCAGAUACACCAAGAGAUUCAAUUUCCCAUACAUACCAAGCUCAUUUCAAGCACUACAUACUCUCAGUUAGAGAUGGGAUUGAUGGCUCUUUGAAGGGAACUGGAUCUUGAGGAGCCGUUCGAAAGACUGGCUCAUUUAAUUUAAACAACCCACCAAUAUAUAUUCUUUUGGUGGAAAUUAUUCAGAAACAUUAAUUAUGAUUUCAUUUAGCUUGUGUUGUCAUUGUAGAGAGAUCACUAUUUUGAAGUUUUCUCUUACCCGAAAAACUUUGUGGUACAAUAAAAACUACGCAAGCUACAGAUAACAGAUAAAAAAUUAAGACAUGAUAAAUGUGAAUGCAAAAUUGUAUAGCCCUACUUGGUAGGGUGACCAUAUUCUGAAUCCCCAAAAAGGAGGACAUGACUACGCAGGGGCGGAGUCGCACAACAUUAAUCUUGAGAGUUUUUGGGUUGGAUUAAGUGUCUUUUACGCGCUUCUAACUCAAUAAGUCCAUGUGACACAAACUUGAAACUUCUGUAACCGCAGACAUUUGAAGGAUUUUAUAAACUUCCCUGGAUAGAGCCGGACAAAGUUGGACAGCUCCCCAAAAAAGAGGACAUGUCCAGGUAAAAGAGGAUGUAUGAUCACCACCCUACUACCUGGCAUUUGGGGCACACAGGUGACACAUAAAUGUAGCGUGGGCAAUUUGCAUAUUAGAACGUUUUGAAAACAAACACCUCGCCACUGUGAACCAGUUCUAAUCAUUCACUUAAAAGAGCCGUUCAAAUGACUGACUCGUUCACAAACGUCACAUCUCUACUCUCAAAAACAUUUAACAUCUCUGAGAGCUUCAAUUAAACUCUGUGACACACCCAAUAAGGUUUGUCUCAAUAUUUGCAAAAGAAUUAAAAGAUUUUAAACCAUUCUUAUUUGUUUGACACAUUUUGACUAUAAAGAACUUGAGAGAAAUGAAACUGUUGAUAUAAUAUGACAACGUGAUUACAAGGAUCCUCAUUUGAUUCGUCUUAACUCUCAGCUCUCCUUAUCAGGGAGAAGAGCAGUCUCUUUAUUCUUUUCCCUGCAGUGUUCAUCAGUGCCCCAGUAAAGAAGAUGGCUUUGUUCUUGCACUUAUACAGUGCACUUAUACUUAUGCAUAAUCUAUGUCACCUCUGCUUAAAGAGGAGGAAGAAAAGCAGUGCUUAAUGCCUGGCGGCAGCUAUGCAGCAGGUAGCAACACGAGUCCUUGUAAGAGUUCAGACUGCUUCAAAAUUUCACACAGCCACUUUGACACAAUUCCACUAAAUUACAGCCUGAAUGACUCUUAAUGACAAAGACCUCUAAUGGCAAAGAGCCUGCCUCGGCACAGAGACGAGGAAAUAAGGCAUUGAUUGAAUGCUGGAAAUGACGCACUGGAUUUAUUGAGAUAAUACAUUCCUCAGCCAUGCUUUCUAUCCAUUAAGAGGAAUUACUUAGACUGUAAUGAGCAGGAUAUUAUCCAGAGUGAAGCUAUGGAUGGAUGCCUCUAUCUGCAAAAGCUCCAAGAUAACAGGCAAGUGACUUGGGGUGAGGUGAUGUCAUGACAAUUAACAAUGCUCAUUGUUACAUUUACCAUGAAUAAACCAAGCUCCAACCAGACAUAGAUGGUUCCUGGUCGGAAUAAGUGAAUAUAGCUCUGCAAUCCACAGCAGUAUCAGACUACUUUGAAUGUUAUAUGUAGAUUAAAGGCAUGGUUGACGAUUGGAGAGAUUGGUCAUUUUUAUAAACCUCGUUUAUAUGGCGAUCAUGGUCCUAUAGUGCGAUCUCCACAAAGCAAAGAGAAAAAAAGAACGGAAAAGAAAAAAUGCAUUCAUCCUAGCAAGUGCAGGGCUGCAAAAACAUUGACCAAUGGGAGCCAUGCGUCCCGGACAACUCCCAUUGGUCAAUCUCCUACUCCGCCUCUCCAUCCAAUCACCUGCAUUCAACACACUCCCGCUGUUCCAACUCGUCCCCUCCCACUCUUCCGGCCCUUCUUAGAGCUCUGAGCAGCUAAAAGUAGCAUAGCAGCUUAGCUACAUGAGCUGUGACGAUGAAGGACGCAAAAUAAAACUAAUUUUUGCCUCUCAUUGUGGCACGUUACAUAAAUAACUCUUAUUAGUCUCUGCAUUGUCAACACGGUAGCUGUCCAGGCAGCUGCAGACGGUACUCGCUAGCAGAGCUGGCAUUUACUGCUGCUAGUCACUAGCAAUCCAAUAUGGUGAAUCCUAUUUGAAGCUAGCGUAGGAUUUUCUGUCGGCCGGCUUCUUGCUCUGCCAGAGGGGGUGUGUCGUGGGGAGGGUGAUAGAGGUUCGGGUGGGGGGUGGUUUGAUUGAUUUUUCAAAUUGCGUCAUCUUCAUGCCCCAACCCCCUAAAGCUCCUGGACCUUUGAAAAAUACUACCCCAUGGCUUUUUUAAGGGGUACAUCAAUUACCCCAUCAAUUAAAUUUAGACCCUGGUACAUGCUUUGAAAACCCACAUAGUUCCUCAUAAGGUUCCCAGUGCCUGGGUAAAGUCCCUGCUGUUGAAAAGUAGCCAUGCAACUGCAGGUUGAGCUUAUACCCUACAGGAUUGCAAACUCCACAUGGCAAAAACAGAUGGAGCUACAAAGAGCUGUGAACAAUGUUGAACAUAAAACAGACCACAUCUUCCAUACCCAGGUCUCUCAUGAUCAUCAUAAUUGCUCAAGUGUUGCAAUAGGUUCUAUUCAACCCUUAAUGAAGACUCGAGGUGCAGCAUAAAGGAUCUGCACUCUGACAAGACAAAGGCAAACAGAUUGGUCUCGGUUACAAAAGUCCUUACUGAAUAAAUUUAACAGACAAAACAAACAAACGUCUCAGUCCAUCCUUGAUUUCUUUGUAAUGCUUUCAACGUGCACCCUUCUACAGUGGUUACUAUACAGGUCCCUCAUUGAGGACUGGGCAUCUCUAAAGCCUACGGAUGAACUGUGAAUGCAAAAAACACCUGUUACAUUACCAUAAAGGAUGACAUCCCACAUUCUUAUACUGAUAUAAAUACAAAUGAAUGUUCAGGCACCUAAUAUAGGAUACACUUGCACAGUAUCAUAGUGCAGAUCAAGUCUGAGUCCUCAGUGCUUGAAUCAGUACAUAACAUCAAGACUUGUUAUAUAUUGGGCAUAUAUUUUAGGACUUGCUUUGUAACAUUUUGUUCUAGUUUUUUGAGCAAAAGUUAGAAAAUAUGUGAAAAAGACUCUCCUGGAUUGCUAAAAUGUAAAUCACACAUUCACAACCCAUUUGAUUAACACGGGCUGUCACCUCUACAUAGAACUUUUUAUAUUAUCAAGGUAGAGAAUAUGCACAGUAAGGUUGAAUCUCUGAAUAUUAAUACACGUAAAAGUAGUAGAGGACAUACAGUAACCUUACUCCCUGAAACAUUUCAUAGUUCACAUGUCUGUAGCGGAGCUGUACAAUUUUAUAAACACCGCACAUCACUCUGGACUUGGAAGCCUUUUUCUGAACUUGGCAUUUAGACUCUGUCAACAUUUUCAGUCCUGCUGUGCCCCUGUGAUAUCUUCCUGUGUCUUAGAUCUAUUUCCAUUACACGACACAGAGAGUAGAUGUUUGACUGAACUCAAAGGGCAAUUAUACCAUGUUCUGCAUAUUCUCUUGAACUUCUUCCGGUCACUUCGCUCAAAAUCUUCAAAGCACCUGGUAAGAAGAGAUUUCAAUCAGCUCCCAGCACUCUCGCUUCAUUAAAUCGGAAAUGGAGAACAAGAGCUUUCUCAGACAGAUUACAUCAAAAUAAUGAGUUCUUUAAAUUGCCUAUCACAAACUUCAACUAUCAAGUUAUUUGUACGGCGGCAGUUCACUGUAGUUCAAACAAACUGAAAGACCCAUUAAUUCCUGCUGUCUGGACUCUUAAUAUACCGAGGCGCUGAGGUCUACUCUGCAGGACGUGCCUCUAUCAGCAACCACAUGAGGCUGCAAAGCACAUGAUGAGCAAGAUACCACUGUUAAAGUCAAGAUACUUGAUAGACAUUUAACCUUUUAACUUUUAAUUCUUUUAAAUUAAUUCUAGGAAAUAACAACUCAAAUAUUUUGAGAUUCUGGGUUUCUGGUUGUUGUGAACAUUUUUCCUGAAAACUUUUAUGCAUGAUGGCACUACUUGUGAAGCUCUCAAAUGUUUUUAAUCGGAAACCUGAUAAUCUUCAGAGGACUGUUGUCUUGUUUAUUGUACAUUUUACCCCCAAUCUCCACCGCAUCCGGAAAGACUACGAAAAGGCCAUAUUCGCCGAUUGUAGCUGAUCGUAACCAUUCAAGUUAAUGUGUCAAUUUCCACCGCCUUCUUUCCGUUCCGCGGUGGAUCGCCGGACUCCGCAGCUGAUCGCAAGAGUUCUACUUUUUCCGGAUGCCGGAGCAUGCAAGAUAAAUUCAGCACAGAUUAAUAUGUAAACGGGCGGGGAUGAGCAAGUGAAAGGUUAGCCUUUGUGGCUAGAGACAAUUUGUUAUCACCCAAUUGCAAGUGAAUCCACGGCUGCUUGUGAGUUCUCGCGAUUCCCGGUGUCCGUAAUCCACCACGAAAUUUGCCACACAAACAGAUCCGGUAGAAAUUGGCGGACGACAAAAAUCGCUGCCAUUUCGGAUUGGAGGCUUUCUAGAUACGGUGCAAAUUGGGAGUUAUACUACCACUCUUUUCCCUUUUAGUAAAGUUUUUUAUUAAUUUGGUGUGGUACAGCGCUGUAAAGAGCCAGCUUUUGGACAGCAAAUUUAUACUUUCUUAAUACUGAUUGAAAAUGUUUUAAGUGGAAUAAAAUGAGAUAAAUAAAAUAAAGUAAAAUUACAAUAUUUAAUUUAUUUUAUUUUAUUCCAUUAAAACAUUUUUGUAUAUGUCUAAUAAGUCUGGAAAAAGAUAAAUUGUUUUUAAUUUUUUUACUUUUUCAUAGUAUUCCAAUUACUUGAGUUGCACCUGUACUUAAAAAAACAAAAUAACCAAUCCUUAUCAACCUCUUAAAAGAAGUAUGACUGUUGGUUUUGUUUUGGCAUUGAGUCCUGGUAAUAUGGGUGUAAUGAUGCACCCAUAUCUCUGACUGCCACAUAAUGUAGACAGACACACUCAUCACACUACCUCACUUGGCGCAUUAAGACCACAAGAUAGAGAACAACAGAAAUGCUGCUGGCAGGGUGUCUAGAUCAUCAUUUUUACGUGUUUUGGCAGUUCUCAUUGUACGGAUCUUAUCACUUAAAAUAAAAGGGUCAGCCACCAUGAACCAGAGCAAGGAACAGCCAAGAAGGCUUCAGUCUAGCCAGUCUGUAUCCUUAUCCGUAAUAUGAUAAGAUCUCAAUGUCAGCAGUAUCAUCUGUCUGUGUAAAUUAUCUUUAUCAAGAAGGUUAAAGGGACGCUUCAGGAACACUUACAGGUGUAAUCUCAUCUAAAUGAAUCUGCCUUAACCUGAGUGUGAAAUGUGUUCAGCUGCCUCUGAGAAGAGAUCAAAGACCUAAUUGAAAAUUACAGGAGAGAAGUUAAAGGUAGGAUUACAUGAUUACAGGAUUACACAUUAAUCAAUUUUGAAUAGUACGCUUAGAUCAUACUUCUGGUUUCUCUUUUCAAACAUUUCAUUCCAGUUCGUUCGCUUAAAUCUUCAGGGAUCGGGGUGGGGGGUGGGGAUUAACAUCUGUGUUUCACAUAAACACAAAAUUAAAAUAACUCUUAUGGUGCGUUCACACCAAGCACGUAUAGAAUCAUCCAUGCAAGUCGAUGACAUGUUAAGUCAGUGCAAAUCAGAUGCGAUUAGACGCAAGUUCUUCUAGGGUGACGCUAAUAAGUUGCAGCGAGUAGCACAGAUUGAGAGGACUGUUUACAUGAAUUACUCGAAUUCGCAUCACAUCUGACACGUUACUCGCUUCAAACACUUAUUCACAAGAGUUAAAAAAUCUGAACUCGGGGGACUGUUUGCACCCUGAUAACCAAUCAGCGUGGAGAUGCCCUGGUGAUGUAAGUCAAGAACAGACCAGCAGAGAUUCAUCCAUUUGGAGGAGUCAGGAGUCAGGAGUAAAAAAGAGCUCAGCUGGAGGAAAGUCAGUGAGGUGGUCUGAAUAUUUUACAAUGUGAUCGACCUCUGCUAUGUUCGAUGUAAACAGUCUGACCUGACACGCAGAAGCCCCUCCUCUCAUGUGUGUUUCGGCACUCUGCAGAUGUAAAAUAAAUACAUGAAUGGGGCAAGUCAUUCGCACAAAUCAAGCGAAUAAACACACAACAUUCCCACGUCCAGAAAUGCAAGUAGAUAAUCUUAUUUGCGCUUGGUGUAAACGCAUUAGACUACAGUGAAUGACUUUAAAUGAUCUCAAACAAGACGUCAUGACUUGAUUUAUAAAAUCGCCAGUUUUUUCUUUAACAAACUUAAAAACUCAUGGUUUCCUGUUUCAUUCCCAACCGUUAGACUCCAUUAAACAGACAGCUUUCAGCCUGUUUGAACAGUCUAACCUUACAACAUUGACACCAGUGUAAAAAGUUUACAAAUCCACUCCUGGGGUGCUCUCUGUGAGUGCUUAUCUCAGGUCUUCUUAACCUUUAGCCUUAGAGUUUAACUAAUCUUUACAUGAUCAAUAACAGUUCCCUCCAGGCUCUCUCACCUUCGCAUGAGAGGAGAAGUUCGAGCCGUCUGUCUGUGCAGGGAAAUCAUUCAUUCCUGUUGACUCAAUGUCAGAGUUAGGAGCUUUAAAACACCUGCCUGUGCAGCAAAGUUCCAGGCUUUGGGAGGACUAACUCUCAAUCUUUGAAAAGUAAGAGGAUCUUUAUACUACAGGUGAGGCUUUGGGGCACAGAAGGAUUUGUUUUGGGGCCUCUUAACUCAUAAUCAUUUGAUUUCAACUUUAUGAGGUAUUGUUUGACAGAUUUAAUCUUUUACAUAAAAUCUUCAAUAUUUUUUUUGAUUUGGUCUCAUUUUGAAACACACCUGCAAACUGAGACUUCACACUGUAAGUCUUAGUAUCACAUUGACAUCACCCUCAAACUUUAAGUUUGGUAUCUCUGUCAUGUAAAUCUUGGUUUCCUGGCGCCAAAAGUAACAACAUUCAGCCUAUGCAUGUCUGCACAAUGAUCCUGAUAAAUGUAAAUCUCUGAUUUCUACUCUGUCUAUACUUGUACCAUCAAAUUCUCUACCACCUGUUUUCAAUGAUUUUUUAUUUAACACCUAAAAGCACUUUGACCUGCUCUGUGCAUGUAUGAAUUUGUUUUGCCUAUUAACGAAUUGUACUGGUGUAUCUCGCCACCUGCUGAAUUUUAAACCCUGUGUUUACUCUUUCCUAUAAUUGCUUGUUACUGAAAACAGCUGCUUACAGCAAUAAGAGCAUCCGGGUAGGGGAACAAAAACAUCCAUCUAAAACUUAAAAUAAGGCUUUAGAAAAUUCUCUCAGCGGGCGCAUGAUUACAAGUGACCUCAAACAGCAGAACAACGACUACUGUGAAAAAUGAGAACAGUCAGAACUUUGCUUAGCAAGAGAAACAGGUCUACAGGUUAAAGGAGCCCAUUAUGGUUAUUUAAAGGUAAAUAACUUUAACUGAGCUAUCAAUACAUAUUAUUUUCAUUAAAUCAUUAUAGUUUAAGCUCUUAUGAAUUCACAGCUACAGCCAAUGUGCUGUAAAACUGAAUAACUUCAGUUUUGAACUUGUCAAUUUCUUGUGUAAGAAGGACUCAUGCUGCGAUCCACAAGUACUCAGAAGUUGGGAUUUCUGAGCUCUGAGUCUCGAACGUCCCCCUGAACUUGGAUUUCUGAUUCAGAAAGACGGAUGAUCCUCACCAACCCCAACUUGACGAUGACAUCAUAAUCCAAGAUGGCAGCGCAGUACAUUAACAGUACAGUGAAAGCUCUAGGAAUAAAAAUAAUAAGAAUAGAAUAGCUUUAUUAAUCCCUGAAGGGAAAUUCAAUUGUUGUCUGACAUAAUAUGUCUCCAAAAAAGUUAUCUACCAUUAACACAAGAAUUGUGUAAAUUCUAAUUGUUUUAUUUAUUAGCACUUCUGUUUUGUUUCUGUGAAAUUGAAUAAGUGGUAUAUGUUGUACUGCUCAACGUCUAACUGUGAACACUGAGCUAUAGUGUUUGUUAGAGUAAAAUACUGCUUUAUGCGUUGUUUACGACUGGUAUAGCUAGCAACAACUAACAGCUGACAACCGCUAAAAAUGACUGACAAUGGCUAACCACAGCUGAGAAUUUUAAACAACAGCUAACAACGGCUAACAGUAGGCGUCUGUCUUGGUUUUCAACUUGUUAACCAGAACGCCGUCAACCCAGGUGUAACGACAUUCCGACUUCCAAGGUAAUUGGAACGCAGCAUUACACUGGAUAUAAUGAUCAGUUGUGUUUAUGGUUAAAAGUAAAAGCAUGAAAACAUUCAGUUGCUUCUCUGUUUACAGGUUCAAGAAAAAUAAACCAGCAGAAGUGUCUGGUGUUAUACAAUCAGAAUAACUGCAGAUCAAGUAUUCAUAUAUGGAUCGUCACUAUGUGAAAAAAUUGCUUUGCUUUUUGUUUUCUUUCAGUUAUCCUCUGAGCUCAGAAAAGCUGGCUCUGCCCAUCACUAAGAGUGUCCAGGUAGCAGGGGGGAGCAGGAGGAUAUUUGUAAGUUAAACUUGUUUUCAAUAACAAAAACUCCACACUCUUUCUUUUUAAACUAAUUCUGUUCAAAACUUUGCUGACUCACCAAAUGCUGCACAGCAAAAACCAUCUGUUGUCAUUUAAGUUUCAUUUGCAAGUGGAUCGAUCUGGUUUACUGCAACCCAGAUGCUCGGAGGAGAACUGAAAGCUUUUGUCUACUGACAUCUCAGUUCUUCCUCGGGAGCAUUAAUAUGACCCAGUUUCUCAUUGUGGAUUUCUAGGGAUUUAACUGUGCAAGCUAAGAUGCAAUCUUGAGCAGGAACAGAGGCGUUACAGGAAGCAAAAAGUGCCAAGUGACUGCGAUGAAACGGAC